CCUACGGGUGGCAGCAGUGAGGAAUAUUGGUCAAUGGGCGCGAGCCUGAACCAGCCAAGUCGCGUGAGGGAUGAAGGUUCUAUGGAUCGUAAACCUCUUUUAUAAGGGAAUAAAGUGUGGGACGUGUCCCAGUUUGUAUGUACCUUAUGAAUAAGGAUCGGCUAACUCCGUGCCAGCAGCCGCGGUAAUACGGAGGAUGCGAGCGUUAUCCGGAUUUAUUGGGUUUAAAGGGUGCGUAGGCGGCCUGUUAAGUCAGCGGUGAAAGUCUGUGGCUCAACCAUAGAAUUGCCGUUGAAACUGGGGGGCUUGAGUAUGUGUGAGGCAGGGGGAAUGCGUGGUGUAGCGGUGAAAUGCUGAGAUAUCACGCAGAACCCCGAUUGCGAAGGCAGCCUGCCAAGCCAUGACUGACGCUGAUGCACGAAAGCGUGGGGAUCAAACAGGAUUAGAUACCCGUGUAGUC
rnacentral:rRNA from 1 species